CGCUAACCUUAAAAUAAGAGGUAUCCCGGAGGAGGUACCGACAGCAGAGUUACAACACCUCAUAAGAAGGCUGCUGGGAGCAUUGCUGUCUCCAAAGCAAGUCAGGCAAAUUGCAGUGGAUGGAGUAUUCCGGAUCCCGAAACCCAGGAGGGCCCCAGAAGAGGCGCCCAGAGAUACAGUGGUGAAAUUCCAAAGAAGCAGUGACAAGGCGACAGUACAAGAAGCACUCAAGGGACAGUCCCCAUAUGUAUUUGAAGACAUGUCCUUAACCUUUUACACCGACCUCUCUGGGAGCACUCUGCAGUGGAGAAGAUCCCUACAGGGGUUUACCACUCUCCUGCGGAGCAACAACAUUCAAUACAGGUGGCGGAUGUCCCGUACGCUCCAAGUGCAACACAGAGAAUCCUUCUACCAGGUCCAUGACAUACAGGAGGCAUCUGCGCUCCUGGACACCCUAGGCCUCCCAAAGGACGCUCUCCAGAGUAUUGGACCUCGAGGGGCAACCACACAGGCACCCACACAGGCACACACGUGGGACCCUGCAAGAAGCACUCCAUUUGUCCCGCAGCAAGCCCCACAGGGAGCCUACGCUCUGGUUACUACUUGAGGCGAACUUCUCUCACACAUAUCUGUUACCAAAGGGGUCCCGAGCCGUGACCGUUUCAGUGACUAUAUACACAUAUAUAUAUAUUUUUCAUUUUUUUGUUCUUUUCUCUCUGUUUGUUUCCUUUUGUACAGUACUUCCUAUCUCGCCGGUACCUACCUAUUAAGCACCGGGUAUCUCAUGAGGACAAUUCCCCUCACCCCCCACCCCUGCCUCUCCUCAAUGGCCGUUAGACUAAGACCCACUCUAUCUCGACGCGAGGUGCAAAAUUUAUCCAUAGCAACCUACACCCAGACCUACUCACUAAAAACACUAGUCAUGUAAUUUAUAGCUAGUCUCGCUACUAACUG